ACUUUUCUAGUAUAUCAAUUACAAUGGACUUCCAAUCCAUAGAGUCUGGUUUAAACCCAGAGAAAAGUA
rnacentral:tRNA from 1 species